rnacentral:rRNA from 1 species
UACGUAGGGUGCAAGCGUUGUCCGGAAUUAUUGGGCGUAAAGAGCUCGUAGGCGGUUUGUCGCGUCUGCUGUGAAAACCCGAGGCUCAACCUCGGGCCUGCAGUGGGUACGGGCAGACUAGAGUGCGGUAGGGGAGAUUGGAAUUCCUGGUGUAGCGGUGGAAUGCGCAGAUAUCAGGAGGAACACCAAUGGCGAAGGCAGAUCUCUGGGCAUGAUCUGACGCUGAACUGCGAAAGCUAGGGGAGCGAACGGG